UAGCUCAGUGGUAGAGUGCUUGCCUAAUAUGCAGGAUGGCCUGGGUUCAAUUCUCAG
rnacentral:tRNA from 1 species